UUCAAGAAUUUGCCCUCCCUUUCGACUGUUACUGGCACAAGAAACGGCUCUAUGGCGACUUCUGCUUCCUCAUCCCCAGCUCUAGACUCAAAACUGGAACUCGUUAAAAGAAUGAGAAGCCAUGAAAUUGCUUUAGCAGAGCUUGAUAACCUUUCAUCUUCUCGACCUGUCUACCAGAAAAAUGGGAACAUUUUCUUUCGUACAACCAUCCAGAAAGCAAAAGCAUCUGAACAGAAACAACUUGAUUCCAUCAAAGCCAAGCUAGAAAAGUUGAACUCCCGUCAAUCUCAAUAGGGUUUGUUUCGGAACUCGACUGAUAUCUGGCUGGUGAAGAAUUACAGCUUUCAAUGUCUUAAAGUUGUAGAAAUUGUUGUGGUUAAUCUUGAUCUUCCUAUAAUGGUUAAAAGUACCAAAGAAAUGCCGUCAAUCUCAAUAGGGUUCGUUUCGGAACUCGACUGAUAUCUGGCUGGUGAAGAAUUACAGCUUUCAAUGUCUUAAAGUUGCAGAAAUUGUUGUGGUUAAUCUUAUCUUCCUAUAAUGGUUAAAAGUACCAAAGAAAUGCCUCCAUUCUUUAAUAUGGGCAUUUCAGACCUAGCACUCCAUUAUUUAAUAUGGCUAUUUCUCUUGCCUUCUUUGUAGCCUUUUUCCUCUGUUCUUGUACAUUAUAUUAUAAUCUCCUGAUUGGUUAUUUGAUAGGUUAAGAAGAUAAUUAGUAUAUACAAAAUCAAACUUAAUAAGUUGGAUGAGGAAAACUGAGGAUUUUCAACUGUCUUUAUUUGAA